CACAGAUUAUGGCCCAGAUAGCAAAUUUUUAAACAAAAUGAGAAUUGUAUGUGCCCUCAUCCUGGCUCAACGUUUGUCCUUUCUAAUCUAGAUACGUACGGAGAAAUAAGUGGACACCAAACUCCCUGUUGUGUUGGACAGACACAACCCUAAGAAACACCGGAAGAACCUGGGCACUAGUGAAAGAAGCGAAAGACGUGUUGGACGUUGGAAUGCAAUAAAUACCAGCGAACCAGCUGCGACCGCAAGCACGGGAACAAAAGGAAGACAUAAUAGACGAAACCCGCUCUCCCCUGACAACAUAGAGCGAUCUCGCUUUGAAAGUUCUGAGAGUGCACUGCAGACAUCUUCCAUCCUCAUAUACCGAGACAGAGCCCAGCAAUCCCAAAUAACAUUACCUAGGAAUAUGCCCUCUGUGUUGGGAAGCUCUCUGUCCCAAGGCCAAUUGGGAAAAUGGAUACGCCUGGCUUCAGCCAUUCGAACUGGGAUCGCGUAGUUCUCAUUUUCAGAAAUCGCCACAUGAUACCAUAUAGCUAGGUUGGAUGGCUGGCAGAUACGGGCUUCGAACUUCUCGCCAGUAACAACAUUAUAGAUAAGGGAACCGAAGCAGGCUAUGUCAUGCUUGAACAACAGACUGUCCUCCUUGACUUCACCAAUAUCCAGAUGUUCCGGAACGACACGAGAGUUCCCAAGAUGACAUAAUUUGAGCCUUUGGCCAUCCGCAAUUAGGCAGUUUCUUGCAGUAAAACCACCAAUGAGUACAUGUUUUGAAUGUGCAUAUGAGACAGCGGCGGCUGCUUCCCGCAUGAAGUUCAAUUGUUGAUUCCGAUUUAGCUUUGUUUGUGAUAGGUAUUUGUUAAGAGUACUGUCCUG
rnacentral:sRNA from 2 species